AAUAAGGUAGUUAAAUUAAUAUUAAUUUGUCAAAUUAAAGAUGUAAAUAUUCCACAAAUAAUACCUAUAUUU
rnacentral:tRNA from 1 species